GACGAACGCUGGCGGCGUGCCUAAUACAUGCAAGUCGAGCGGAAUGAUGAAGAAGCUUGCUUCUUCUGAUUUUAGCGGCGGACGGGUGAGUAACACGUGGGCAACCUACCUUGUAGAUUGGGAUAACCCCGGGAAACCGGGGCUAAUACCGAAUAAUCCAUUUUGCUUCAUGGCGAGAUGUUGAAAGACGGUUUCGGCUGUCACUACAAGAUGGGCCCGCGGCGCAUUAGCUAGUUGGUAGGGUAAUGGCCUACCAAGGCGACGAUGCGUAGCCGACCUGAGAGGGUGAUCGGCCACACUGGGACUGAGACACGGCCCAGACUCCUACGGGAGGCAGCAGUAGGGAAUCUUCCACAAUGGACGAAAGUCUGAUGGAGCAACGCCGCGUGAGUGAAGAAGGUUUUCGGAUCGUAAAACUCUGUUGUAAGGGAAGAACACGUACGAGAGUAACUGCUCGUACCUUGACGGUACCUUAUUAGAAAGCCACGGCUAACUACGUG
rnacentral:rRNA from 1 species